AUGUACUGCUUUUGGUGGAUGUAAUACGAAUAUAAAUUUGGAGAAUGUUUGCUUAAAGGUGAAAACAGUGUUUAUUCAAAGUUGAAGCAAAACAUGAGCGAUUCUUUGGAAGGAGUUGGCUGUUCUGUCCAUAUUCGGAUAACGCUCCUGGAGCAUCAUUGGAUGUCCACCCUAUUGACAUUGAAGUGUUGAUCCCAAGAAGAGUCCUUAACAAACAUCCUACAUGCUAAACUCCAGCUCAAAAAUCUGCUCCUUUCAAUGAAAACUAAACUAUUGGUGGAUACAGCAUGAAGGUAGCUGUCUGCAAACCAGGAAGAAAGCCUUCACCAGAUGCCAAAUCUGCUGGCACCUUGAUCUUGGACUUACCCGCCUCCAGAGCCGUGAGGAAUAAAUGUCUGUCGUUUAAGCUGCCCAGUCCAUGAUAUUUCUUAUAGCGGCCCAAGUUAACUAAGACGCCAUAAUUAACAUAUUUUUACAAGAUGGACUAAUUCUAAUCACGUGCACGUAAUCUUUCUAGUUUAUGAAAUUUCUGUUACAGUUCUUUCUUCUGAUUAAUUUAAGAUUUGGAGAUAUCUGUGAGUUUUGUAUUUUUGUCAUUGUUGUUAACCCAUCUCAGUGUAAAGAAAGUUUGGGUUUUUAUUAUGUUCAAAUUCUAUAGAUUACUUAAUAUUUAACUUUCUAACAUUUAAUCUUAAGAUUAGAAUUAUAAAACUUCAAGAAUAUUUACAAUGAGAAACAUAUCGUUCAGCCCAAGCAAUAUCGACAAAUACCCCCACUGAGGAGCAGUUUCUCUAUUAAAUAUGAGAUGGAAAACUUCGUACUAUAUUCUAAUGAAUAACUUUAUGAAUAGAAAUAAUAAUCAUGAACUAUAUUUUAUUGCCAUUUAUCAAGGGCACAUUUCAUUUUGGAUUGGCUUUGAUGUAAACCAGGCAGUGGUUUUCUAACACCAGAUUAUAUGUAAAUGGUUGGUUGCAGUUUUGUAAAAGUGAGAAGAAAAAAAAAAGGAAGGAAGCAUGUAUAUCUCCUCCGCUUUCUCCUGUAAAAGUUACAAUAUGGUUAAAACCCACAGAAACAAAGAAAACAGGAGAGGAGAUGAUAGCAAGGUGAUAGCAACAAAAGGUUGAAAUGUGGAAGGUGUACAGAGGAGGGCUAACCACCCCAGCACAUCAGAGGAAAGCCAAUCCAAAGCCAGCAGCUGGAAUAGCACUGCAGACGCUGGUAAGAUGCCAGGGCUGCAGGCACCUGGUGCCUCUAAAAAGUCUGCAUGCAGAUGGAGCGGAAAAUGGGGAGUUUGCAGGAAAUCUUCGUAAGAAGAAUUCCCAACUCGGUUACCUGAUCCAGUGCACUUAGGAUGGCCAGACUUUUGUGGAAUGUCUUGGACUGAACAUCAGGGAAGGAUUUAGCCAUAGACUAUUUCUGAAGAAUAGUAUCAAGUAAAUCCUGCUCAAAAGCCAACUAUUGCAUCAUAGGUACAUUCCGUCUCUAUUUAAGUCCUUGUCUACUGUCUACACAGCCAGACAACUCCUUCCCUAACACACUAUCGGAAGAGUGGAAGCACACUCUGGGGGAGUAGGGGGCUAAGCCAGGCGGUCUCUUGAUUCAGGGUCAAUAGGCAGAGAUGAGUGUGGGGCAUCAAGAUGAAUACAGGAAGUUUAAGAGAAAAUUGGCAUAGUGACUGGUAAGACCCUUCCAGCCACCCCCCACACCAUGCUUGAAACAGCAGUAUUUAGACUUAUAUUCCCUUGAAAUUUUCUUAAGAGAAAAGGCUUACAGAACUCAAAAUUUAAAAAUAUCCAACAAAACAGCUGGGAACAUUUCUGUGGUAGAGUAUAAAAAACUAUAAAAAAAAUUAUUUAAUGAAAAUAGCAACUUAGUCUUCUCCUCCCUGCAUCUUGCAGUGUGACAUUGCAGAGCUUCUCAUCAAGAAGCGGGGACAAUUUCCCCACCCAUUGAAUGUGUGGUAGCUAUGUGGUUUGAUUUGGCCAAAGGAACAUUAGCAAACAUGAUACAAAACAGAUGCUUAAAAACCAUUCGCGCACUGGAGUUUGCUCUCUUGGUGCACUUGGAAUCCUGAGACAACCAUAUGAACAAGCUCAUUCUAGCCUGCUGGAAGGUGAGAGGAAGACAACAAAGAUGCCCCAGCCAACGGCCUAUCAACCGCCACACAAGAGAUCAUAGAUCAUCCAGCUACCAGUCAACAUGGCAGUUGAUCAAAAAAGCAUGAGCUAACCCAGAGAGAUCAGCUGGGCCAGCUCAGACUCCACCUGAACCACAGAAUCAUGAGCUAAAUAAGUGAUUUAUUAUUUUAAGCUACUCAUUUUGAAGAUGAAUUAUUUCACAGCAAAAACUAACCGGUACACUGGCUGACCAAUCUCUUGUAAUACUCAGCAUGGAAUAAGACCCAUUUUUGGACGUGGAACUUCCUAUCAGCUUUGCGGGACCUAAUUUUGACCAAGGGAAAAAAAAGUCAAGUACAGUCUUAACUCACAGAUGAGAAAAACACUUAUUUAAAAAAUUUGUUUUAUCUGUGUCUUAGUUUUCUAAGAACUAGGAUAUAACAAAACUAGCAAAGACAAAAGAAUAAAACAUUAUAAAAACUUAUUUAAUGGCCUUGGAGAGAUGAGAGAUGAUAUUUCACUAUGUAACAUGAAGAGAAAGUUAUAAAAGCAGAACCUUUAAGAAUAAAAACGUGCUAUUGGAAUUUUUAAAAAUGAUAGCAGAAAUGGAAAACCGAAUAGAACAUUGGAAGAUAUAAUUGAGAAAACCUGCUAGAAUAAAAAACAGUAAGACAAAGUGAAAAGCAAAUGGAAGGGAAAGGAGAAAAAAAUUUGAGAAUCAGUUUAAGAAGCUGAGCAUGAAUAAUAGACAUUUAAGAGAGAGAGAGUAGAAAAAUAGAGAAGAAAUUAUCAAAGAAAUCAUUCAAGAUUUUUUUCAGAAGUUAAGAACACUAAUAUUCCAGAUUAGUGCACUAUAGUUUUAAAAAGACUGAGGUAGGGCAUAUAACUUUGAAAGCUUACGACUCUAGAAACAAAGAUCCUAAAAGCAUACAGAGAGGAGAGGAAAGGAAAAAAAAUGUUCAUAAGUAAAAUUUCUGGAGUAAGAAUGUUAUUGGACUGCUGAAUGAGUAACUUUUUAGAUUACUGGAGAUUAAAAAGCUAAAGAUCGUUGAAAGUUAAAAAGCACUGAAAGCUAAACACCUUAAAAAUGUGGAAGGGAAAUAAUUCUCAACUAGACUGAUAUACCUAGUGAGCCUAUAUCAAAUGUGACAAUGACCUAAUGACAUUUGCAGGCAUCAAGAUUUUAAAGUUUUUACUGCCCAUGCAGCUUUUCCCAGGAAGUUAUCAGAGAUGUUUCCUCAAAAGAGGAGAUAAAACAGGAAGGGAGGAAAACAUGGAUUCCAGGAAACAACGAAUCUAACACAGGAUGAUGGAGACCGUCAGCAGGCAUCCUGAGCAAGCUGACACACUUGGGGUGAGAAGGGGGAGGACUCCAUAGCGAUGUCGCAAAGAAGAUGAAAUUGAUACAACAUUGGAUGCAUUGGGAACAUGUGGAGGAGGAUGGGAGAGAACUUUCAUGCUGGGUUCCGUAUACUCAUUUAUUAUGAGGUUGAAUCCAUGUAGCACCUGUAGUGAAAACGUUUUAGUAUAGAAGAAUUGUGCUGUACAUGCAGUAAAUGCAAACUUCCUAUAAAUUAGUCUCCAAAAAAAUGAGACUUUGCUUUUAACAUGAACUGUAAAUUAUAUUUUUACAGAGCCAAUAAGGCUACUGAUUUUAAGAUGUUUCAAAUUCAAACCAAAGUUUCAAGAGUGGGGGUAUCCUGUAGGCUGCAUAUAUUUAAAUGUGGUCAGUUACAUGCAUUGAUUCCUCCACGAACCAUGGAGUUAAUGAAUACCUUAUGAUGAAUUAUUCAUACCACUAUAACCAUGAGCGUCUUCCCCAGGAGAAAAUCAUUCUAUAAAGACACUAAGGGGAUGGUUGUCUGCCAAAAGCCAAGAUUUGGGGACAGCCUUUCAGAAGCGGUGCUGUCCCAAGGACAGCCAGCAUCCUGCUUGGUACCCACAACGCCCGGCAGCAUAGUGCAUUUCCCAUGAAGUCCCCUGAUUCUAAACUAGAACAAAGGAUACUGCUGUCAGAACAAUUGUCUUAUACAUUUAGAUGUAAGAAUUUAUUGAUUUCCUCUGUCCCGUUACUGGGCACCACCUCCACAAUUCACUCUGGAAUUGAUUCAUGUGUUCUAAGUACAGUAUGAGAAAUAAAUGAAGACAGUUUUAAAUAUACAUAAAUUAAGUUUGAUAUAAUAACGCUUAUACUCUCCACCCUCCUCCAUCAGGUCGGAUGCUGACAGUGUAGUUUGGAGGCGCUGAAGAGCAGAGAAGGGCAGAAUUAUCUUCCAGGAAAGGUAUUCCACUAGCCUUCCCUGUUUUCUCAUAUGCCCAGAAGGGAUGCUGAGAUUAGUCUCUAUGAACGCGUGUUUCCUAAGUAUUCAGCUUUUGUUUGUUUUUAAACUUUUUAACGAAGCCAUGACUGAAAUAGAUCAAUACCCCAUGGAAGCCCCCAGAUAAGAAAGCAGGGAAAGCAUAACAACCCUUGAGCCAAGAUGCAGCCUAUGAUGGGAUGCACUGGAAAAAAAAAGUCGAGAGGACCAUUUCUACUUGCCUCGCAUUGUUCACCUUAGUAAAAACGUAUAGUAAUUGAAAUUCAGAAAAGAUUAAAUAAGGUUCUAGUCGGCCAAGUCUAAGAAUUCUUAUAAUGAGAGAAAAUGGAAAAUAAUGUACAGCUAAUCACAAUUAACUGAAAUGAUCUUGGCAUGGUCACAGCAUCUUUAUUAAUUAAAUGAACAUAUUUUAAUAUGUUUAUGUUAUAUGCAUAGUUUAUUAUUAAGAAUAAUAUGUGUAAAUUUUAUAUAAAGUUAUAUAUAAUUUAUUAAUAGUUCAAAUUAAUUAUUGUUUUAUAUAAAAGAAAAAGAGCAAGCCUGGCAUUUUGAUUCAACCUACGGGAACAGAUUUCUUGUUCUAUUUUAGACGUUUAUAAUAAAAUUCAUAUCAAUUUAAGUUUUUUGGAAGUACUUAUCUUUCUAAGAGACCUACUAAUCACAUCAGUUGAGAGACAGUGAAUUUUUUACAUAUUUGUAUUAUAAUAUAUAUCACAUCAUAAUGGAUAGUAAGCUCCUGAGGGUGAGUAAAAUAUUCAAAGUAUCAGAUACUACACCUGGUAGGUAAUCAAUACACUUUGGUUUAAUAAAGAUAUGAUCAUAUUUUUCCUCGGACUCUGCUAGAUGAUUUUGGGGAUAGAGAAUUUCAGCACAUAGUUCAUUCUCCUGUGGAUUUUAUUGACUAGUUAGAGAGACCCCACAGCUAUACGAGAAGCAAUGAGGAAACCUCACAAGGCACAUAGGCUCUUGACAUCUCUGAGAGAAUCAUCUAGAGUCCUAUUUGGAUCUCCAUAUUGGCAAGGAUUUGCUUUUGGGGUGGGUGUUCUUAUUCACAUGAAAUAAAAAUUUUAUUACUUUACCAAAGACUGUAAAUGUGAAUAUAAAUCAGAGGUCUAAAGUGUUGGCCACUUUGCUCGCUAGUAAGUGACUCACUAGCCCACAACAGCCUCAAGACAUGUAUGAUUCAAAUUUACGCCUCACUCAAUUACAUGGAAAAAUUACAUGGGCUUUUGUGAUCUUGAAAAGGUCAAAACCACUAGCGUAAAUGUGAGAAUGCCUAUGGCCUAAUAUAUGGUCAAGUGUGCCCUUGAGUUACAGGAAUCAAAAAGGAGCAGACCAAUGUGGGCUGGUCUAGUCAUUAAUUGUUCAUGGAGGAGAGGAUAUGUUGAACAGCCUCAGAAGAAGGGUGUGUUUGAAUAGGCAAAGAGAACAUUUCAAGUAGAUAUAUUCACAUAGCUUAGGAAUAAAGAUUGAAAUGAGAAUGGUGUACUCGUGGAACAAGGAAGAGACCAAUUUAAUGCAAGUAACAGGUAGAUGUAUGAAAAAGUGGACAAUAAGGUAAGAAAACUAUAGAGGAACUAUAUUAUGAAAAAAAAACAUUAAAGUUAAUCUGAGAAAUUCAACCUUGACACAGCAGGCAUCAGGGAACAACUGAUGGUUUUCCAGCAACGUAAAGUGAUGAAAGCAAAUCGUGUUUUACAAAGAGUAAAUCAAUAUUGAUGAACAGAACAGACUGAAGACGUUAAAAUUUUAUAGCAAGAAUACUCAUCGAAAAACUUUGAAGUGACUAAUUAAAGUGCAGGCAAUGAGAAAUAAAGGGGAAUGUACAAACCAAAAAGACACUGAAAUUAUAUUAUUACCAAAGCUCGGCGACUGGAUAUAGGGAAGGAGAGAUAAGUGACAAAAAGUUGUUUUGUUUUUAAGCCAAUUUCCUUAGGUGUUGCAAAUAUCUUCUGAAUAAAUUUGCAAAUAUCAACACAUCUCACUUUGAGAAUUGCUUCAGCUUGUCUUAGCAAAUAUUCCACUCAAAUCCAUUAUGUCUUCUCAUAUGUUAUUACUGCCAACCCCUUUACACUUAUUAAAGAAUUAUAUUUUUAACUUAUUUUUUGUCUAUACUCUGACCAUAUUCUUUUUUAGCUGAAAGAAGUUAAAAUUUUUGUUGAAAAUAACACCAAAGUCCCAUCAUCAAAGACAGAAAACAAUGUUAGGUAACUAAUAGGAGUGUUACAACAUGG
rnacentral:lncRNA from 1 species